CCUACGGGAGGCAGCAGUGGGGGAUAUUGCACAAUGGGCGAAACCCUGAUGCAGCGACGCCGCGUGGGUGAAGAAGCGCCUCGGCGCGUAAAGCCCUGUCAGCAGGGAAGAAAAUGACGGUACCUGAAGAAGAAGCCACGGCUAACUACGUGCCAGCAGCCGCGGUAAUACGUAGGGGGCAAGCGUUAUCCGGAUUUACUGGGUGUAAAGGGGGCGCAGACGGCGAUGCAAGCCAGGAGUGAAAGCCCGGGGCCCAACCCCGGGACUGCUCUUGGAAAUGCGUGGCUAGAGUGCAGGAGGGGCAGGCGGAAUUCCUGGUGUAGCGGUGAAAUGCGUAGAUAUCAGGAGGAACACCGGUGGCGAAGGCGGCCUGCUGGACUGCAACUGACGUUGAGGCCCGAAAGCGUGGGGAGCAAACAGGAUUAGAUACCCUUGUAGUC
rnacentral:rRNA from 1 species